UGGGGAAUAUUGCACAAUGGGGGAAACCCUGAUGCAGCGACGCCGCGUGAGCGAAGAAGGUUUUCGAAUCGUAAAGCUCUGUCCUAUGGGAAGAUAAUGACGGUACCAUAGGAGGAAGCCCCGGCUAACUACGUGCCAGCAGCCGCGGUAAUACGUAGGGGGCAAGCGUUGUCCGGAAUCACUGGGCGUAAAGGGUUCGCAGGCGGAAAUGCAAGUCAGUUGUGAAAGGCAGAGGCUCAACCUCUGUAAGCAAUUGAAACUGUAUUUCUUGAGAUGUGGAGAGGCAAGUGGAAUUCCUAGUGUAGCGGUGAAAUGCGUAGAUAUUAGGAAGAAUACCGGUGGCGAAGGCGACUUGCUGGACACAAACUGACGCUUAGGAACGAAAGCGUGGGUAGCAAACAGG
rnacentral:rRNA from 1 species